rnacentral:rRNA from 1 species
UACGAAGGGAGCUAGCGUUGUUCGGAAUUACUGGGCGUAAAGCGCGCGUAGGCGGCUUUGUAAGUUAGAGGUGAAAGCCCGGGGCUCAACCCCGGAAUUGCCUUUAAGACUGCAUCGCUUGAAUCCGGGAGAGGUGAGUGGAAUUCCGAGUGUAGAGGUGAAAUUCGUAGAUAUUCGGAAGAACACCAGUGGCGAAGGCGGCUCACUGGCCCGGUACUGACGCUGAGGUGCGAAAGCGUGGGGAGCAAACAGG